CUACGGGGGGCUGCAGUGAGGAAUAUUGCACAAUGGGGGGAACCCUGAUGCAGCAACGCCGCGUGGAGGAUGACGCAUUUCGGUGUGUAAACUCCUUUAUAUGUCAAGAAAAUGACGGUAGCAUAUGAAUAAGCACCGGCUAACUCCGUGCCAGCAGCCGUGGUAAUACGGAGGGUGCAAGCGUUACUCGGAAUCACUGGGCGUAAAGGACGCGUAGGCGGGUUGGAAAGUCAGGUGUGAAAUCCUACAGCUUAACUGUAGAACUGCACUUGAAACUUCUAAUCUAGAGUAUGGGAGGGGGAGAUGGAAUUAGUGGUGUAGGGGUAAAAUCCGUAGAUAUCACUAGGAAUACCUAAAGCGAAGGCGAUCUCCUGGAACAUUACUGACGCUAAGGCGUGAAAGCGUGGGGAGCAAACAGGAUUAGAUACCCGCGUAGUC
rnacentral:rRNA from 1 species